GAGCAGUUUGACAGUGGCUUGCAGACAGAGCUGGAGCAGUCCACUGACCCCUCUUUUCUCUCUCAGUACACAGAGCAGUUUGACAGUGGCUUGCAGACAGAGCUGGAGCAGUCCACUGACCCCUCUCUAUCUCUCUCAGUACACAGAGCAGUUUGUCAGUGGCUUGCAGACAGAGCUGGAGCAGUCUCGACUGCAGGAGGCUGAGUUGCUAGCUGCUCUGAAGGAGAUGCAGGACAAAGUUUUGGAGCUGGAGAAGCCUCCUGGUUGCUGCUCAGUGUGUGGGUGGGCGCUCAUUAUCAGACUUGUUGAGCUCAAACCAAAGCUUUAAUCCAGCGCUCUACUAAAGGGGCAGGAACAGAGAGGCUGUUGACUCUUAAUGACCCCAAAGAGCACAUGAGGGAGACAGGAAGCUAGGAGGCGAGAAGAGUGAGCCCUGCUCAGGGAGAAAGCAG
rnacentral:lncRNA from 1 species